GGUGAUACAGAUUUAAUUGUUAGAGUAAAACAAAAUAAAGUAGUUUUACUUUCCGAUUUGUCAAUGCACGAACUCGAGGUUCUUCCGAGGCCGUCCGAGGGAUCUACAAUUGUGCUCUGACAUGGCCAUCGGCGUUGAUAUCUUAGGACAAUUCGUAUGCAAAACCAGACAUUUACAGUUGUUCGGUGGAAAUAAGACAACUUCCAUUAAUUCUAUGUCAUCAGUGGCUGGAUUUAUGUCUCCUAGAAUUGCCUCUCCGAUGCAUCCCAGCGGAGGUGGUUUUGGAUGAGGCGGCGGAGGCGGAAGAGGCAGGGGCCGUGGUGGCGGUGGCGGUGCAAGACGCGACAGGGAAUUAAUUGACACCACGAUCAAAAUAACACGUGGACUAUACAAGGGAAACGUGGGUAUUGUGAAAGAUGCAACAGAGGCAACAGCGCGCGUGGAAUUGCACUCCACGUGUCAAACAAUUUCCGUCGAUCGAUCUCGUAUAGCAAACGUCAGCGUCCCGACAAAGGAUGGUGGCUUCAGCAGUUACAACAGAACUCCGGCUUACGGUGCUGGUGGGCAGUCGCCGAUGUACGCGAGGGACGGAUCAAUUAAGACACCUAUGCACGAUUUCCAGACGCCUAUGUACGAAAUUCAAUGACGCCGUUUCACGAUGGAUCGUGAACACCAGGACAAUCUGUAGCUUGGGAUCCGUCAGUUACUAAUACACCCGCCAGGACGAACGAUUUCGACGGCUACAGUAUAGAAGGAUGAGAAGAUGACGGAGGAGUCGGAGAACGUGGACGAGACUGAGAGCACCGCUCCUAGCGAAGAAAAGAAGCAGGAGGAGGUGAAGGACAGCUCGGACUCGAGUCAAGAUGCGACGGACACAGCAGCGGAAGCCUUUAUCCUCAUCGGAGUCCCAAAAUCCCUCCAACACUGUUACUACUGAGGAAAACAAGGAAUAACCUCCGUUCGCCCGUUUUACCACUACUUUUAUGAGGUACCAAGGCGGCGCACAUAUUGGGGUCACACACAAAGCCAGUCCCCCUCGUCUAUUUUAACUAAUUAACACCUUCUUGUCGAUCGUUGCUUCAACCAGCGCAUCGAAGUCUUGCUUUUAUUUUCUCAUUACCCCUAGACAACGCAGUUUUCCGAAAAACAUAACGAAAAUGCCGAAGAACAUGCUACGCGCGCUAGGCUAUAUGAAUUAGUAUUUAGAGAUUGACUCAUUUUUUGUCUCUGCCUAUGUCAUAAUACUAUAUUAUAUCUUCGCAGAAAAAGAUAGUUCCAGUCUGGAACGAUUAUAAUCUGGAAUAUUAUUCUGGGGAGAUAAUAAUUUAGGAAGAGACAGCUAACUCGUUAAUCAAGCGUUAAUUCGAAUCGUCGAUGUAAUUUGAUCCUAAAGUUUCAACUAUUUAAACAGUUUUUUUAUCUUUGUCCUGUUUUUUUUUCGCAUUUAU